AAAUACUAGCCUCUCUGCACGCGC
rnacentral:miRNA from 1 species